AUACGUAGGGGGCGAGCGUUGUCCGGAAUGAUUGGGCGUAAAGGGCGCGUAGGCGGCCCGGUAAGUCUGGAGUGAAAGUCCUGUUUUUAAGAUGGGAAUUGCUUUGGAUACUGUCGGGCUUGAGUGCAGGAGAGGUAAGUGGAAUUCCCAGUGUAGCGGUGAAAUGCGUAGAGAUUGGGAGGAACACCAGUGGCGAAGGCGACUUACUGGACUGUAACUGACUCUGAGGCGCGAAAGUGUGGGGAGCAAACAGGAUUAGAUACCCUGGUAGUCCACACUGUAAACGAUGAAUGCUAGGUGUAGGGGGUAUCGACCCCUUCUGUGCCGCAGUCAACACAAUAAGCAUUCCGGCUGGGGAGUACGGCCGCAAGGUGGAAACUCAAAUGAAUUGACGUGG
rnacentral:rRNA from 1 species